GACGGGGGAUGCGAGCGUUAUCCGGAAUGAUUGGGCGUAAAGGGUCCGCAGGUGGCCCGGUCAGUCCGCUGUCAAAGCCUGGGGCUCAACCCUGGAGAGGCGGCGGAGACCACCGGGCUUGAGUCCGGUAGGGGCAGAGGGAAUUCCCGGUGGAGCGGUGAAAUGCGUAGAGAUCGGGAAGAACAUCGGUGACGAAGGCGCUCUACUGGACCACAACUGACACUCAGGGACGAAAGCUAGGGGAGCGAAUGGG
rnacentral:rRNA from 1 species